UUCGGCCCAUUACUCCGCGUAAAAAGCGCGUGCCACCAUAGCCCUACGCGUAAAGAGCGCGUACGCGACCCCGCCAUAGCCUAUAUAUAUAGAGGUGGAACAAACCAAAACCAUCGUCAUUUAAUCAAACAGCGAUGGGGAUGAAUGAAGCGAUUUGGCGGGAGAUGGCUGUUACAAACCCAACGUCGAUGGAGUAGUUGAGGGAUUUUCAGCAACCUUACAAAUUUCUCAAUAUCUGCCUCGAAUUUGAUGCUCUCUCUUUGACCUUCUUCUUCCACCAUGAAAAUUCGUCGUAAACAAUGAAAUCUGAAACCUAUUCGUCGCCAAACUGCUUUACCAGAAGCAGAGACGACCUCCCUGCUGCCUCUUCGAAUUGAUAAUUGAAAACCCUAGUUGUUCUCUGAUCGUCAUAUCUAACCCUAGUUGUUCAAACUAUUUCUAAUUUCAGUCGAAGAAUGAUGGAUCAGUGGGGGAUUUUCGGCAAAUGCACUGACGAUGUAGAAAUAUCUUGAUCCCUACCUCGACGCUCUCUCUUCAAUGUAGCUUUCGUCCAACGCCGCUGCGUUCUUCAGUGGUUUCUUGGAGAGAAGGGAAGCUGAAGAAAGAGGUAGAUGAAAACUCUGUAUGGAGAAAUUAGGCAGGGGCCAUGGGGAAAUAGGCGGCGGAGAUUCAUGACUCAUGACUCCGCCCGAACUUACGACAGAAAAACUCAGAAUAUCCGUGGUAAAAAAGCGAAGGUUCAUUUCCGCAUGAAGACAAUGGAUAUUAGAUUUAAGUUCAAUGCGAAUCCUCUCCACCGACGGUGGAGCGACACAAUUCUCUUGUAUUGGUUUACCUUGACUCUCCUGUUGAAACGGCAAGCAGCAAAUGAAAUAGAGGAGAAUGGGUGCUUCUAAGAACUCAAAUGUUGAAUCUUACGUGAACGCAGAACAGGAGGAAAACCGACCAGGCGGGUGGGCAACUCUUUAUUUUCUUUAAGAUGCUUUUAUCAGAACGUGUAUCAGCAUUGACGUGGGAAUCGAGCUUUGUUGUUCCUCUCCUCCAAUCAUGGGUUUUCACCACUUGGUCUUGCUGCAAGUUGGAGGGAAGGCCUUAUCAGGUCGUGAGAAGCUUUGUGCUUCAACGGGAGACUGGUUCUAAGGAUGACUCUGAAACUAUUGAUAAUUGAUAUGAUCAAAGAGCUUUCGGAGACCAAUAUUCGAGAUAUAAUGAGUUCAAAGCAGAAUCACAAUCAACUUGGAACUUUUUCAGCUAAGCAUACAAAGUCAAAUAGAGUUGAAUGUUUAAAUUGGACUGAGCUAAAUUAGAGCUCUCUCUCAGCAUUGGGGUGUCUUCCAAGCUCAAGUUACAUUGAAAAACAGGUAAUUGCUUCUAUCCAUAUAUGGUUGUGAUAAAUAGUGCAACAGUUUUUUUCAAUUACUGGUUUACAGAUUAUAUUGAAUACUUUGUAAUAAAAUCUGAGUAGCCAAAUCAUGAUAAUUAUUUAUUGGUCUAAAUAACUAUUACUGUA